UGCCAGCCGCCGCGGUAAUACAGAGGGUGCAAGCGCUAAUCGGAAUUACUGGGCGUAAAGCGAGCGUAGGUGGCUAUAUAAGUCAGAUGUGAAAUCCCUGGGCUUAACCUAGGAACUGCAUCUGAAACUGUAUAGCUAGAGUAGAUGAGAGGGAAGUAGAAUUCCAGGUGUAGCGGUGAAAUGCGUAGAGAUCUGGAGGAAUACCGAUGGCGAAGGCAGCUUCCUGGCAUCAUACUGACACUGAGGUUCGAAAGCGUGGGUAGCAAACAGGAUUAGAUA
rnacentral:rRNA from 1 species